AUAAAUAUAGUUUAAAUUUAAAAUAAUGAAUUUGCAUUUCAUAUGAUAUUAAUUAAAUUAAUUAUUUAUG
rnacentral:tRNA from 1 species